rnacentral:rRNA from 1 species
AAUAUUGGACAAUGGGCGAAAGCCUGUUCCAGCCAUGCCGCGUGUGUGAAGAUGAUCUUCGGUCUGUAAAGCACUUCAUGUGGGGAGGAAGGGCAGUAAGUUAAUACCCUCCUGUUCUGACGUUACCGACAUAAUAACCACCUGCUAACUUCACGCCAGCAGCCGCGGUAAUACGGAGGGUGCAAGCGUUAAUCGGAAUUACUGGGCGUAAAGCGCGCGUAGGUGGUUUGUUAAGUUGGAAGUGAAAGCCCCGGGCUUAACCUGGGAAUUGCUUUCAAAACUGACGAGCUAGAGUACGGUAGAGGGUAGUGGAAUUUCCUGUGUAGCGGUGAAAUGCGUAGAUAUAGGAAGGAACAUCAGUGGCGAAGGCGACUACCUGGACUGGUACUGACACUGAGGUGCGAAAGCGUGGGGAGCAAACAGG